rnacentral:rRNA from 1 species
CAUAGGUUAAUGAGGCGAACCGGGGGAACUGAAACAUCUAAGUACCCCGAGGAAAAGAAAUCAACCGAGAUUCCCCCAGUAGCGGCGAGCGAACGGGGAGCAGCCCAGAGCCUGAAUCAGUGUGUGUGUUAGUGGAAGCGUCUGGAAAGGCGCGCGAUACAGGGUGACAGCCCCGUACACAAAAAUGCACAUACUGUGAGCUCGAUGAGUAGGGCGGGACACGUGGUAUCCUGUCUGAAUAUGGGGGGACCAUCCUCCAAGGCUAAAUACUCCUGACUGACCGAUAGUGAACCAGUACCGUGAGGGAAAGGCGAAAAGAACCCCGGCGAGGGGAGUGAAAAAGAACCUGAAACCGUGUACGUACAAGCAGUGGGAGCACGCUUAGGCGUGUGACUGCGUACCUUUUGUAUAAUGGGUCAGCGACUUAUAUUCUGUAGCAAGGUUAACCGAAUAGGGGAGCCGAAGGGAAACCGAGUCUUAACUGGGCGUUAAGUUGCAGGGUAUAGACCCGAAACCCGGUGAUCUAGCCAUGGGCAGGUUGAAGGUUGGGUAACACUAACUGGAGGACCGAACCGACUAAUGUUGAAAAAUUAGCGGAUGACUUGUGGCUGGGGGUGAAAGGCCAAUCAAACCGGGAGAUAGCUGGUUCUCCCCGAAAGCUAUUUAGGUAGCGCCUCGUGAAUUCAUCUCCGGGGGUAGAGCACUGUUUCGGCAAGGGGGUCAUCCCGACUUACCAACCCGAUGCAAACUGCGAAUACCGGAGAAUGUUAUCACGGGAGACACACGGCGGGUGCUAACGUCCGUCGUGAAGAGGGAAACAACCCAGACCGCCAGCUAAGGUCCCAAAGUCAUGGUUAAGUGGGAAACGAUGUGGGAAGGCCCAGACAGCCAGGAUGUUGGCUUAGAAGCAGCCAUCAUUUAAAGAAAGCGUAAUAGCUCACUGGUCGAGUCGGCCUGCGCGGAAGAUGUAACGGGGCUAAACCAUGCACCGAAGCUGCGGCAGCGACGCUGAUGCGUUGUUGGGUAGGGGAGCGUUCUGUAAGCCUGUGAAGGUGUGCUGUGAGGC